GAUGAACGCUGGCGGCGUGCCUAAUACAUGCAAGUCGAGCGAACAGAUGAGGAGCUUGCUCCUCUGACGUUAGCGGCGGACGGGUGAGUAACACGUGGAUAACCUACCUAUAAGACUGGGAUAACUUCGGGAAACCGGAGCUAAUACCGGAUAAUAUAUUGAACCGCAUGGUUCAAUAGUGAAAGACGGUUUUGCUGUCACUUAUAGAUGGAUCCGCGCCGGAUUAGCUAGUUGGUAAGGUAACGGCUUACCAAGGCAACGAUGCGUAGCCGACCUGAGAGGGUGAUCGGCCACACUGGAACUGAGACACGGUCCAGACUCCUACGGGAGGCAGCAGUAGGGAAUCUUCCGCAAUGGGCGAAAGCCUGACGGAGCAACGCCGCGUGAGUGAUGAAGGUCUUCGGAUCGUAAAACUCUGUUAUUAGGGAAGAACAAAUGUGUAAGUAACUAUGCACGUCUUGACGGUACCGAAUCAGAAAGCCACGGCUAACUACGUG
rnacentral:rRNA from 1 species